ACGGGGUUACCUUUGAGGUUUAUUCAGACCAUAAGAGUCUUAAAUACCUUUUCUCCCAAAAAGAGUUGAAUAUGAGGCAACGCCGGUGGAUGGAACUCUUAGAAGAUUAUGACUGCACGAUCAACUACCAUCCCGGUAAGGCUAACGUAGUAGCGGACGCCUUAAGUCGGAAGGCUCAAGUAGCAGGGUUGAUGGUCAAGGAGUGGGAAAUGUUAGGAGCAGCUAGUGAGUGGAACCCUAGACUGGGAUGCAAGAAAAUAACUUUUGGGAAUAUUCGGGUGACAUCUGCUAUUCUGAUCGAAUUAAAGAAGCCCAAGAGAAGGAUCCGAUGGUACAAAAGUGGAAGGAAAAGGUGAAAAGGAAGCACUACCUGAUUUCAAUUUGGGUCCUGAAGGGAUUUUAAGGUAUAGGAACCGAGUAGUGGUAGCCAAUGAUGAAAACCUGAAAAGAGAAAUUUUAGAGGAAGCCCAUCGAUCGAAAUACACGAUCCAUCCUGGUAGUAAUAAGAUGUACCAAGACUUGCGACGGUUGUACUGGUGGGAUAAGAUGAAGAGGGAGAUUGCUCAAUAUAUCCAAACCUGUCUGAUUUGCCAGCAAGUCAAGGCUGAACACCAAAAACCCUCUGGACUGUUACAACCUCUUGAGAUACCGAAUGGAAGUGGGAAAAUAUCACGAUGGACUUUGUUUCUGGACUGCCAAGAACUCAAAAAGGACAUGAUGCCGUUUGGGUGAUCGUUGAUCGGUUGACCAAAUCGGCCAUUUCUUACCUGUGAAUGUGAAGGAUUCCAUGGAUAAGUUGGCUCGGUUGUACCUGAAUGAAAUUGUGAGGUUGCAUGGGGUUCCAGUGAGUAUAGUUUCAGACCGAGAUCCUCGUUUUGUAUCGAGGUUUUGGCAAAAGUUUCAGGAGAACUUGGGGACCAAAAUCAACCUUAGUACCACUUAUCACCCCCAGACGGAUGGACAGUCAGAGCGAACCAUUCAAACCCUCGAGGAUAUGUUACGGACUUGUAUUCUGGAUUUUGGGGGUAAUUGGGGUCAACAUAUGACUUUGGUAGAGUUUGCCUACAAUAACAGUUUCCAUUCGUCCAUUCAAAUGGCACCAUAUGAAGCUCUCUACGGACGGAAGUGUCGUUCGCCCAUUUAUUGGGAUGAAGUAGGGGAAAAGAAAGCUCUAGAUCCAACAACCAUUCCUUGGAUGGAGGAUGCACAAGAGAAGGUUAAAUUGAUUCGUCAAAGACUCCAAACAGCUCAAAGCCGACAAAAGAGCUACGCAGAUAAACCGAAGGAAAGAUUUAGAGUUCGAAGUUGGAGACCGUGUUUUCCUUAAAAUUACACCACUACGAAGCGUCACUGCGGGUAGAGGAAAGAAACUUCAACCACGUUGUGGGGCCUUACAAAAUUCUCCAACGAGUUGGGAAGGUAGCGUACCGACUCGAGUUGCCGCCAAGUUUAUCUCGGAUUCAUGACGUCUUCCAUGUUUCGAUGCUGAAAAAAUACUAUCCUGAUCCAACCCACGUUGUGCGACCAGAGGAGAUUGAGUUAGAUGAGGCACUUACUUAUGAAGAGAGACCUGUACAAGUACUCGAUCGAAGGAUUAAGGAAUUGAGGAAUAAGCAAAUUCCAUUGGUAAAGGUUUUGUGGAGAAAUCAUGGAAUAGAAGAGGCAACUUGGGAGUUGGAGGAAGAGAUGCAAAAGAAAUACCCUGAGCUAUUUAGUAACCCAGGUGAGCAAUUUCGAGGGCGAAAUUCUUUAAGGGGAGAGAGUGUGAGAACCCAGAAAAAAAAAAUUUAUUAUUAUUUUAUUCCUGUGCACCCGUUUCUUUUAUUUUCUUUAGUAUAUUACUUUUCUCAACAUUUUAUCCAUAAAUAUAGUUUUUAAAAUCAUUUUUCUAGUAUAAGGUAGUUCGUGAGAAAUUUGGAACGUAUUUUGGGGCGUGGGACCCGCUAGUGCAUUUAGUGAGAGAAAUUCGGCCGAUUCGGUUAAAUAUUGCCUAUAGGGAUUUAAUUACUAGGUGUUAGGAGAUAAUUGGAGGUUACCUAGAUGAAUUAAUACUGAGGAGACAAGAACAUGACUUCUAGCAACAAUAAGGUGCCAAGUGUCCACUUGUCAUUAGCUUAAACUUGCCUAACUUUUGGCCUAACUUCUUUAACUUUACUUAAAGUCUAAUUUUGACCAAGAUGACUUCACUUCUUCCUCCCUCUUGGCCGAAUGCUCCUUGGAAGCAAAAGGAAAAGAUUCUUCAACCUUCAUCUUCAAAUCCUUGCUCAAAUCUUGAAAACUAGCCGUUUGUUUCUUGAAUUAGUCCAUAAAAACAUCUUGCUUAGGGUCUUUGAAGAACUUGGUGGUGUUGGUUUGGAAGAAAAUCACCUAAGCUACAACCUUUCUUGAAGAACUAAGGUAUCUUGCUUGGAACUCAUCUUUUGGUUUUAAUUUUGGCCAAUUGGUGCCUUAUAGUAGCUAAUUUAAAUUUCUGUCGGGUCUAUCCCAUUUAAUUUUCUGUCCGGGUCUAUCCCGUCUAUCCCGUGGGUCUAUCCCAACUUUACAUUUUUCUGUUCGGGUCUAUCCCGUGGGUCUAUCCCAAUUUUACAUUUCUGUCCGGGUCUAUCCCAAUUUUAAAUUUCUGUUCGGGUCUAUCCCGUGGGUCUAUCCCAACUUUACAUUUCUGUCCGGGUCUAUCCCGUGGGUCUAUCCCAAUUUUAAAUUCCUGUUCGGGUCUAUCCCGUUUUAAAUUUCAUGUUCGGGUCUAUCCCGUUUUAAAUUUCCUGUUCGGGUCUAUCCCGUUUCAAAUUUCAUGUUCGGGUCUAUCCCGUUUUAAAUUUCCAGUUUCGGGUCAGUUCCGAUUUCAAAAGGGGUCAGUCCCCAUUUCUAAAAGCGUCCAUUGUUUGAGACGUUUUCACCGCCAAAUAACACAGGUAAGUAUUUGGUGUCUACUUCUUUGUCUCAACUUUUUCCAAAACUCAGACAAAGAGGGGCAAACUGUAGACACAAAUUUUGAAUUGAUUUAUAUGCUUCGUUUUAGUGAUAAGUCUUGUCUAUUGAUUUUUGUUUAUCUCAUGAUUUUUGUUUUAAAUGGUUUGCAUUUUUGUUUUGCCCCUUUAGAUGUUAUUUUAUUUUAUUUUUAGUUUUAUUUACUUUUUAGUUUUUUAGUUUUUGUUUUUUAAGUUUUAGCGUAGAAAAACAUGAAAAAAUGAAAAAAAGGAAAAAUCAUGAAAAAAGAGGAAAAAAAAAGAAAAAAUAGCAUUUUUGUUUUUAUUUAUCUAUUUUAGUCAUUUCUACUUAAUUUAAAUUUUGUUUUUGUUUGUUUCAUUUAGAAAAAAAAAAGAAAAAAAGAAAAAAUGAUGAAAAUUGAAAAUGAAAAAAAAUUGCAUUUUGUUGUUUCUAGUUUGUUUAUUUUAUCCAAUGUUAAUUAAGUGGGUUUUGUUAUUAUUAUUAUCAUUUUGGUUUUGUUAAAUAUCUUUUGAAAAAAAAAAAGAGACAAAUGCAGAAAGCUGCGUUUUGUCGCAGCUUUGCAAGGAGGACCUCGGGCAGCCCUUAGCUGCAAAUAUGGAAGAGAUGUUCAAGGCUUUAGGGUUGGCUGACCUCCUAUAAAAGAAAAAAGAAGGGACAGCCGCAAAGGGGAUAGAGAGGAUACGGCGUAGAGAAAGGCAGAGGGCUACGGGACUUCAUUGAAGGGAGCAUGGUUGAAAACAAAGGGGAAAAGAGAGAGAACCGGAGAGUUGGAGUUGGCGGCUGAGUGUAAAAGGCUAGGUUCUGAGGGAAACAGAGGCAAGAAUAAGAGAGAGAGCAGAGGGAAGGCUAGAGGUAGAUGAGAUUGAUGGUUGAUCAAAGAGCGGCGGCAGCACGAGGAAGAAAGGAAAUUUGGAUUUGCAAGAACGGUGCUGUGUCAUCAUCAUUGCCUUCCCGUUGAUAUCCUUCAAAGGCUGGCAGAAUUGUCCGAAUCCUUUCACGGUCAUUUCCACGACCCAUUUGGCGAUUAAGCGGGCUUCCAUGUUUAGUUGGCAAAAGAGGUAACAAAAGAACGAAGCAAGAAGGAUUCUCGGCUAGGGGAUUGCAGAAAAGGAAGGUGACGGAGCCAUUUUCAGCGUUCAAUACUCGGGAAGAUUAUCUGAGUUACCGUCACUCCAGGUAUUGUUUUCAUCUUUUAUAGCUAAAAGCUGUCUCCUUUAGUUAUUACUUGUUUUCCGUUGCUGUCUUCUGGUUCUGUUUUGCUUCAACGUUGAUUGAUGGCUUUUGCUUGGGUUUUGAUGGCAUUUGUUUGGAGUAAGAAGUCAGCUCUUGUGUGGUUGGGUCUUAGCCGAAAGUAGAUCAAUGAAAAGUUUCCAACUUUGAUUGUUUUUUAUCUUUCGGCAUGAAACAGAUUUGGAGUUAGGUUUUUGGUUUAGAAUGUUGGAGUUGCUUUCUUUAUAUCAUUGCUGCAUUAUUCAUAUUCAUUUGCUUCAUGGGUUUACUGGGGAUAGGCAAUUGCAUUUUAGGAGAUGUUGAUGACAAUGACUGAAACCUUCAAUGUUCCAAGUUCAUCUCUUAUUGCUGAUUUCAUACCCAUUUCCCUGCUUGAUGUUUGGGGUGAAUAAUGAUAUUUGGAUUGAUGUUAACAACAUGGUUUCAAGGCCAUUACAUGGGUGUUGGUCUUGGUUUGAGUUGUUCCAUGUCAAUGAGUUUUGAUUGGAAUGCAAAACUGCAGCAAGCAUGGCCGGUCCACCAUUGCAGAAAUGUUUCUCCCAUCCUCUCGUUGUUUUCUUUUCUUUCUUCGCACAUUUUGCUCCAGAAUUUCUGUUUGACAAACACUAGUUGACUGAGUUGAUGUUGGCAAAUCAUGUUAGAAGAUUAGGAUGGUUUCACUUGUUAGAAUCGCAAGUUAUGGUUCUGUUUGACACAAGUUCCAGAGACCUGCGCAUGAAUUCUGCUGCAAUGAGCUUAAAGCUCUUGGUCCUGUUGCAGCAGCAUGCGCGAAUACCUUUUCUUUUCCUUAGAUGGCCGAAGCUUUGGUUUUGUUUCAAACGCUUGAUUUGGUUUGUAGCUUGACUGAAAUGUCCUGUGCAUGAUUGGGAACUUGGUGUCAAAGGUCAUCAGUAAUUUCUGGUUUGAUAAAUCUGUUGGCAUGAUGAAACAAGAAGUUUGGAAACCAAAGGCAGCAGCCUUCAUUUUUUAGCUGCAGAAGCUUCUUGUCUUUCUUUUGUUGCAUGAAACUUGCAUAAAAGUAUUCCAAGAGUCCCAUUGUUAUUAAGUUGUAGCCAUGUUUGAUUGGAAAUGGAUCAAAGGGCUGCAUGAAUCUUGUUUGCCCAAAGUUGCUUGGAGUUGCGGCAGCUUUUGUUCUUUAAGUGUUGCACGCAUGUUUUCCAGAAUUUUUGCAGGAUAUCUUGCUGAGUUUUGUUUGUUUGGAUUGAGGUGGUUAUGUAGUUAGUUGCUUAGUCUAAAGCUGUGAUGUUGGGGUUGAAAAUAUCUAAUCAAAGCUGGGAUUAGAAAUCAGAGGUUGAAAGAAAAUGCAGCAAGUCUCAUUGCUGAAAUCAUAUGCCGAAAAUGCAGAAUUUCUCUUGCUGUUUGUAUAUUCAAAUGUUUAGCUUUGUUUUUCUUACUAGAAAUUGCGGUUUGAUGUUGGAUUGGGAUGUUGGGCUGUGUUCGGAUGAAGAUUACAUUUUUGUUUCAUUUAAGACAAUGAAUUGAAAAGCAAGCUACGGUUGGAAUAGUGCAAAAGGCUUUAGAAAUGGCUGAAACUUUGUUGCAGAAUAUAAGCUACGUUCUUUGCAUGAAGAUUGCAUGAAAUAAUUUUCUAAAAUUGCAUUUUGACCCCUUGGCUUCUAACUGAUGCUACUUUGACCCAACUAAUUGAAUAAUGUCUUCAACUUGGUCCUUGGUAGUUUUAACUUUUGCAAUUUCAUUGUUUGUUUGAUUCCAAUUAGCCACCUUGCUUUGUUUAAAUUGCACUUCAUGCAUGAAUUUAAGAGCUUUAUGACCAUGUGAGCCCGUGUUUGCAUGUUUUAUUUAAUUUUCACAAAUAAAUUGGUACCCUGACCAUUUCUUUUAUUUUGGAGGGUAAAUAAGCUAUUUUUCUUUCAUUUGGGCACCAUUCCAAGAGAGGUAUAACUUCUUUUAUCUUUUGUGUCUCUCCUAUGUGAUCCAACGUGUUAAGUGAAACUUGCAUGUCUACUUGCUUCCCUUGUUUUUCUUUAAUUCCUUUCAUUUACUUCAUUUACUUUUGCUUUUUAUUUAAGUAAUUCUUUAUGGGGUAUGUGUACACCUCUUGGCUUGUAAUAGAUAGGGCUUGGAGGAGCAUUCGAUGAAGACCUGUUGAAGACAUGUGCCUAGCUAGCAAAUGUAAUAGUUAGAGCUUUAAUUGCUUUAUGUGUCUUGCAUGCUUAGUUGCUACGUAUUAAUUUGCUUUGUUAGGGCCUUGCAUCUAGUCGAGCAUGCUAAAUGUUAUGUGCUAUGUGUUUAUGAGUGUUUGGCAUGUCUACUCGCUUUCCAUAGCCAUGAAUGAAUGUGAUGGAUGAAUGUACGUUUCCGCUAGUCCAACGCUAGUCGGAAUUCAUAGAAUGGGCUAGUCCAACGCUAGACCCUUAGGGAUUUCCCCUCGAUAGUACAUGUUUGCGUGAUCAUUACAUGUCAUGCAUUUUUCUUAGUUUAUCAUUUGGCAUGCCCCUCGAACCCCUUUUCCUUUCAUUUUAGGAUUUUUGCAUUUCAUGCUAGUUAUAGGGUUCAUUUGCUUGAGAGUCCCCUUAAAUAUGGGAUAUAGACGAGUGUGGCUUUUUCUAACCCUUAGCACGCUUGUAUCCUCUCUAUAAAAGGGUAAAUUGAGUCACGACUUAGGUCUCCCCGUACCCAAUAUGCAUGAAUUCCCUAGGCUCAUGCAUUCUCAAUCCACUCUAUCAUCACACUUUCACUUUUGUCUCAUUUGCACACAUGCACCUUUUUAUCACUUUCACUUGCACACGAACACUUUUUUAUCUUCACUUGCACACGAACACUUUUAUCUUCACUUGCACACGAACACUUUUAUCUUCACUCGUACACGAGUACUUUCAUCUUCAUUUGCACACCGACACUUUCGCACUUUUCUUUAAAUUGCAUACAUGCAUUUUUGCCCACUUGCACUUGGAGUAUAUAUAUUUGCAUUCAAAGACAUUUGCACACCUCCACUUAUAUCGUAUUUUUAUCAAUCUUCCCACUUUACAAACUCACAUUUUCACAUAGCAUGCAUUCCACUCAUUUUUACGUCAUUUAGGAUCAUGUGUGACCUCUCCGAAGGAUCAUUAUUGGGCUUCACAAUUAAUGUGAUUGGCACCACUCAACCUUUGAAGAGAAAUUUCCCCCACGUCCCCCUAGGUCUAGGUUUUUGCAUUCAUAUAGACAUAUCCAAUACGCGAUACAUACCCUGGGUAGAAAAAUUAGGAAAAAUUGGUUUAAGUCACGCAACUAGCCUUGGCUAGGUCGAAGGGGUGCCUUGGAUUUUUAUCCUUGCCUUCCCCUUCGUCAAAUGUGACCCCCGAUCCCUCUUUUGGUUACGUAGACCCAAAAGUUCUUUAAAAGGGUUUAUUUACUUUUUUAUUCAAAAACAAAAAUCAUUUUUGGGUGACUUGGUACACCCUAACUCUAUACCAAGUGGCGACUCCAUUUUUGAUACAAAAAACCCUUUUUGAACUUUAUAUGGCCAAACCGUCGCAUUAUUAAGUCCCAUGGCCUUUAUUUUCAUUUUGCACACGUUCACACACACUCACACAACACAUAUCAUGUCAAAAAGUGGGGCGCGACAGUUGCCUUGCCAAAUAAUAGCUUGUCAUCUGCAAACAAUAGAUGUGGGAUUUUUGGACCAUUGUGCCCCAGUUGAACUCCUGAAAUAUUACUACAAAGCACAACUUCCUGCAACAAGCAAGAAAAGGCUUCUGAACAAAUUAAAAAUAAGUAUGGGGAAAUUGGAUCUCCCUGCCUUAUCACGUUGAGGUCGAAGAUGGCCAAAUUUAUUACCAUUAGUAAAAAUGAAUAGGAAACUGUGGAGAUACAAUGAAAAAUCAGAUUAACAAAGAUAGGAGAAAUACCUAAAGCUAACAUCAUGCCUCUCAAAAAAGACCACUCAACCCUAUCAAAAGCUUUGCUCAUGUCUAACUUAAUAGACAUGGAUCCUUUCUUGCCAGAAUUUUUGCUUUUGAGAGAAUGAUUCACCUUAUAAGCAAGUAAAAUGUUAUCAGUAAUAAGAUGACCUGGGAUGAAAGCUAAUUGGAAAGGAGAGAGGAUUUUUAAGAGAACUUUAUUGAACCUAUUAGCAAUAACUUUGGAUGCUAAACUAUAGAUGAUAUUACAUAAACUAAUAGCACGAAAUUGAGAAAUAUUGGAUGGACAUUGACAUUUUGGAAUAAGAACAAUAUAUGUGUAAUUAAAAGAAUCAUCAAAAACCUCAUGAUUUAGAAAUUGAAGUACCUAGUGAAUGACAUCUUUCCCAACAAUAUGCCAAAAUUUUUGGUAAAAAAUUGGAGACAUACCAUUAGGACCCGGGGAUUUAAAAGGAUGCAUCUAACCUAAAGCUUUGUUUACCUCACUGGAUGAGUAAGGUCAUAGAAGCGAGUUGUUCAUCUGGGCUGACACUUUGCUUUGUACUCUCUCCAAAACAGCAUUAAUCAUCUCAUUUGACGACUGUGAAGUGGAAAAAAUAUUACCAAAAUGGUCCAAGAUGAUAUCUUCUAAAUCUCCAUGUGAAUGAUACCAUUUGCCCUCUUUAUUUAGAAGACCCUCGGUCUGAUUAUGACACUUUCUCUGACAUAUCUGAGCAUGAAAAAAAUGAGGUAUUUCUGUCCCACUCACGAUACCACUAUACUUUACUACGUUGCUUCCACAUGAGAUUUUCCUUGUCUAAAAGAUCUUCUAGUUGAUUAGGUAGAAUCCCAAUUUCAGAUUUGGUGGAAUCAGUAAUUACCCCUUGUUGGAGUUGAGCAAUCCGUUUCCUCAAAACGUCAAAUAUUUUAUUGAAAUUACUAAACUUCAGCCAACUCCAAUGUAAAAGAACUAGUCUACAUUCUUCGCUCUCAAUUUGCAAAUUAUCAAAGGCAUUUGUUGUAGAUUUUUCUUCCCAAGAUUUUUUGAUAACCUCCUCAGAAUCCUCAGCUUUAGCCCACAUAGUUUCAAACAUGAACUGCCUUUUCUUACUUGUACUUUCGCUAUUCCUAGGAAAGUAGUCUGAUUUGUUAAUUUUUAGUAGAAUCGGAAUAUGAUCAGAGAAUAAUGCAUGAGCAUUAACCACUCUUGUUCCUAGAAGUAAAUCAAUAAAGUCCUAUCUUGCACAUGCUCGGUCUAAUUUGGCUCUAAUCGUAUUCAAGCUUAUUCUAUUAUGACAUCAAGUAUAUGAAAAACCUGAAAAUCCCAUGUCAAAAAGUUUACAAUUAGAUAAUACCUGUCUAAAAUUCGCUAUCUGACAAAUUGGUCUCGAUCCAAUAUGCUAAAACUCUUGCUGAUUUAGAACAUCAUUGUAGUCUCCAAAACACACCCACAAAAGACAAGACAUAGUUGAAAGCUUAUGAAAAAUAUCCCAAGAUAAUUUUGUUUUUGAAGCUUCAGGGUGCCUAUAAAAAACUGUUAAGUGCCAGGAGAGACCAUCCCAAUUCACUAUGACAUCAAUGAAGCUAGAUGAGCAACAAUGAGGGAGAUAUCCAAAUCUAUCCUCUGAAAGAGAGCUAGGCCACUAGAGUUUCCUUGAACACUUACUCCAAAGUUGUAGCAUCCAAGUUGCAAUUUCAGUUUGUCCACAUAUUAACUACUGCACUUUGUUUCGAAGAUAAAAAUAAUUGAAAGAUUCUCUCUUCGAAUGAGGCUCCGGAGCUCCUGAACUAUCCAAGAGUUUUUCAACCCCUGAUAGUUAGGACAUUCAUGGCUCUUGGUGGGGCUGGGAACCAAUCUCCACUGUUAUAUUCUUUGAAGGAGUAAUGGACAUCCCCUCUGCAUUCUUUGUUUUUUUUAGCAACAUUAAUAUCCUCCAUCUCUAUAUCCUUUGAAUUGGGAUCCUUCUCACUUCUUUCUAUCUUAUGACUAACAAGAGGAGUGCUUGAAUUAGAACCCUGAGCUUUUAUGGUUACUGGUUUUCAGGUAAACUUACUCUUCUUAUGCUGAACAGUAGUUGUAAUAGAGCGCAUUGCCUCAAUGUCAGAGUACUUUCAUUGCUGUGUCAACAUUCCAUCAAUGAGGAAUAAUUGUUGUGUAGACGAGUAGAAUUGAUUUGUAGAAAUUGGGGUUGUCUGAUUGGGUGGUUGUUAUUAGGGGGUGGUUUGAGAAGAGAUUGCUUAGAGGCAUAGAAGUGAAAGGAAUAGCAUUUGGGUUAAUACUAUCCAAAGCUUCAGAUUUACUUGCAGCAUUGGGGCUUGGAUUUUGAAAGGUUAAGGUGGAGUUUUGAGGGAUUGGGCUUGGAGUGUCAAGUUGUUUAGAAGUAAUAAGAGUUGAGCUUGAAUUUUGCUGAGGCUUAUUAGUUUUAGUGGGUACAAGAUCAAGAUAUGACUAUUGGGGUUUAUCUACUAGGUUAUUUGGUGUUUGCAAAGUGGAUGAAGAAGUACGAUUCAUGGAGAUAAGUUGGUUGGUAAUAGAAUCUUGGUUUGGUGGAAUGUGCAAUUUGAUUGUAUAGGAUGAGAAUGGUUUGUUAGGGACACUUAGAUGGGGUUUAUGAUUGUAAGUCUCCUCAGCCAUUUUACCCAUGAGAUAUUUGGGAUUUGCCUUUAUUCAAAUCUAAAUUUCUUCAAAUCUCAUGUAUAGGAUCAGAAGACUUUGAGUUUGAAUUCAAAUUAGCCAAAUCUAUGACCUUCUAUGACUUUUGAUGAUUCCCCCAAAGUUGGAUGCUGAUCUUUUGCAAAUUCAUUGAAACUUCCCUUUCUAUUCGCUGUCGACAAUCGUUCACUGGGCUGGUGGCCUGAAUUUUGUUUUUCAACCUUAAAUCAAAGCCAAGCUCCAUACUCAGGUUCCCUAUAGGUACAGUCUCUAAGUUAAAUUUAUCCUCACAAUCCCAAUCACCAUGACCUAUUUUUGCCACAAAAAUAACAGAUGAGUGGAAGUCGUUUAUAACGAAAGUGCAUCGAGUGUACGCUGCCUUCAAUAAAUAACUUCAUUAGUGUUUUAAGUGGGUGAUCAAUCUGAAGUCUUACUCUAAUCCGCAUGGAUUUUCCCCAUGGAAAUUCUUCUCUUUUGGAAUCUAGACCGUCGUAGACACCCAGCCUAUUGCCAAUGAAUUCUAUAGUUUUAGCAAUCAUCAAGUGGAAUAUUGUGAACUUGGACCCAGAAAGAACAAAAGUUUAAUUAUACCUUUGAUGGCUGCACAUUCCCACAAAAUCACCAAUAACAAAUAGAUUAUCAUCAAAAGCCCAUGGCCUUCCAAGAAAAACCUCUCUUAUCCAUAAUACUAUUAAACUUGAAUAGAAAAAGGUUAUCUCCAAUGGUAGUGUAUGUUAAACCUUUGGAAGGAUUCCAGGCUUUCUUCAUGGUGAUCAUUAGCGCCUCAUUGUUGAAAGGCUUCUGAGUGAGAAGCUUUCCCAAAAUACACAACUCACUUGACAUCGAGUCAACAGCCUCAUUCUCUCCUAGCAUUAGCAUAACUUCUUCUUCGUCAUCCCGAAGCAUUAGAUUUUGGCACAUUUUUUCCAAUUCUUCAGCCACAACACUGAGAUGAUUAAUAUAGUGUUGCAAAGAGUAGAGAAAAGUGCCAAGAUGACAACCUCUUACAACUGCAACCUGAGGAAGCUAAAGGAAAGAAGUAUUAAAACACAAUUAGACACAACUACAAACUAAUGAAAAGGAAAUUUACAGAAAUAAACAAAUGAAGAAAAUUAGAGAAGGAUAAAGCAAGAAACGAAGAUUGAUCUGGUAAAGAGCAUGGAAGAAACUUCCACUAGAAACUAGGAAGAAAGAGGCUUGCAUAUGCAAGGAAAUACCCAUAGAGAGCAAACCUCUGAUGGGAAAAAAACUCCCCAAACCCACUUCUUUAGGCUAACUACAAGUCUCAUUACCAUGAUUCAAGAAAACAAGUAGAAAAUAAAAAAUUUGAUUGGCACAUAAUGUGCACUAAUUAUUAUAAUAAUUCAAAUUUAUCAUGUCAUUUAGUGUACUACUAUUUGGAUCCUCUUCAAAUUUAACUUUAUUUCAAAAAAAAGUUAAACCUUGAACCCCCUCAUAAACCGUGUCUAUUCAACAUUUACCGGACAAACUAGAGUAAAUUGUUAGUAGUACUAGUACGAAUUAGACUCCUCUCCAUUGUAUUGGAGAGAAUUCCAUUUAAAGUUUAUUAUUAAAAAUCAAUAUCCAUAAUUUAUUUCAUUACCUAUAUUAGAUAUACAUAAAAAUUUUGAGUGAAAUUAACUAAGUUUUGCCUUUUGAUUAAUCAGUAUAUAUUUUGAUACAAUUUUGACUCAUUUUCAUCGUUUAAAUGUUUUAUAGAAAUUAAAUGCAAAAGUGUUCGCAAAAAAAAAAUAUUAUUUUUUAGUAUGUUGAUCUAGAAAUCAAAAGAAAAGUAAGAACUUAAUUGUAAAUUAUAAAAUUUUAGAUAUAAAUAAAUAAAAGGGAUAAUUUUAGAUGCCUCCCUUGAGAUUUCUAACAAUUUCACUGCCCUCCUGUGAGGUUUUAAAAUUUUCACUUACCUCCCUUAUCAGCCAUUCGAGACCCAACUCUUACAUAAUUAAUGACCAAAUGACUAUAUUACCCUUAUAAUUUAGGAUAAUUACACAUAUACGUGAAGGAAAAGAGUUAAACAUUUGCUAACUACAUUAACCAUAAUUUGGAUUGUAAAAAGUUAUUUAAUUGCCAUCUAAAAAUAAAGCCAAUAUUAGCUGCAUCUGUUUUAAUUUUUAUAUACUUAACAAAUAAAAGAUAUCAGACAUAAUGUAAUUGAUAAAUUAAAGGAUUUAGACAUGAAAAACAAUUAAGCUGUUUACAAACUAAAUUAACCAUAAUUUGAAAUGUAAAAAAGAAAAUCUAAUUUGGCAUCUAAAAAGGGAUCCAAUACUAGGCAUUCUUUUUCCUAUUUAUGUAAUUGAUAAAUAAAAGGAAUCAAAUAUAAAGAGAUUUUAGUUGGACUAAUUUUUCUUAUAAUUGUGGUGAUAGCAAGAAUUUUAAGGAAUGGAAAAAAAUGUUUUGUUAAAUUUUGAAAGUUGUUAUUUUUUGUUAUGGAUGAUGGAAAUUUUUAUUGACCGUACGUAGCAACGAACCCAUAAAUAAAUUAAUAAGUUAGAUCAAAUAUAUAAUCUAACUAGUAUAAUAGUUGAAGUAGGCCUAUCAACGAUCCGAGUCUAGACCCGAACCAGGCCCAGACCCGCUAACUUUUUUUCCACGUGUGGGUGCAAAUAUAAUAUCGUUUAUCUAAUUCGAACCCAAACCCAUUUUUUCUAAUAAAAAAGGUGGGUCAAAUACGGAAUAUUGCAUUCUGAUCCGUAUUCAACCCAAACCGUUUAAAUAAAUUAAUAAUUAUAAAAAAUAUAUAAUUAGUAUAAUAAUACUUAUAAUAAUAAUAAUACAAUAAUACUUAUUAUUAUAAUAAUAAAUAUACUUAUUUAUACAAUAAAUUAAUAAUUAUAAAAUUUAUUUAUUUAUUAUAAAAUUCGACUUGUAUUUAGCUCGACCCGUAUUUAGGAUUCGUCGGGCUCGGAUCCAGAAGAUCAACUGUAAGACCCAUCGGGUAUAUGAUCGAAUUCGGAACAUGUAUUCUAAAAAGGGUCCGGGUUCGAAAUGUUCAAUUUUGACUCGUAUCCGAUCCAUUGACAAGUCUAAGUUGAAGGCCACUUUUGACAUAAAUAAAUCUUCUCACACUUGAAGUUAUUUUUUUAUUGCUGCAUUUUUUAAUUGGCUAAACUAUUACAAAAAAAUUGAGUUCAAUGGAGGCUAGUGAUAUUUUUAGAAGUUCAAAGGAGUUUUUUUUUUUUUUUUAAUUAUCCCUAAGUAAAAAGAACAAAAGAGAGAAAUCUAAUGGAUCCUAACCUGUACUAGUACUAUCAAGUGAAGUUUAAAGUAGAACCGUUUAAAUCUUCACCUUUUGAUUACAUCAACUCAACAGAACCUAAGAUUAAGGGAUAAUUUUAUAAACAUCCUCUGAGGUUUCUGACAAUUAUAGCUGUGUUUCCUAAAGUUUGAAAAAUUACACUUAUCUCCUUUGAUGUUAUGAAAAGACCAUUAUAGCUUUGACAACUCUACAAAUUUUAAGUGAAAAGUGAGUGUAAAGGAAAAAAGAAAACCACAUCUUGCAAAUAUUUCUUUAUCCAAAAGUGCUAAUCUUAUCUCACCUAAAACAUUAUAUUUAAUUCCUAGGUUAUUUAAAUGGAUUUCUUGCUUAGUUUUAUAAAUAGCUGACUAGUAGCGAUGCAUUUAUUAAAAUUAGUUUCUUCACAACUUACUUAGCAAAGAAAAAAACGAAGUCCAAACAUUAAAAAAUGAUGCCUUGAAAUAUUUGUGGCCUAAAUUUUGCUAUAAAAAGCUACCUUAAAAUUUUUUAUUUAGCAAGUAAUGCUGAUAUUUGAUAUCUUUUGUCAUUUAAUUUGUUUUGUAAAUCUAUAGGGCAAUAUAGGAUAUUCGUUAGAUUUUUUAUACUUACAUCACCAUUUAUCACCGAAACAUACUUUUUAGGGGAAGUCUCUGUAAUUUUUUGAACCUUAAGGGAUGCGGCUACAAUUGUUAAAAGUCUCAAUGGAGGUUUCUGAAAUUAUGCCUAAGAUUAAACAUCAAAGUAAUCUAAGGUCUCGUUUGGAAUUGUGGUGCUUUUGGUAGAAAAAUAUUUUUUAAUACAAAAAGUUUAAAAUGUUUGGUGAAUAUUAUCUUAUAAAAUUAGAAAUAGAGAUUUUGUUCUUCAAAGCACUGUACUAUAUUUUGAACCAAAUAAAGAAAUAAGAACUUUUAAAAAUUUUCAAAUUACACAUUAUUCAAUAUAAUAAAUAUUUAUUGAAUUAUGUUUUCAAACAAUAGAUUUAAAAACAUUUAAACAGUUAAUAAGUACUUUUAUUAAAAAUUCUAUUAGAAAAUACUUCUCAAUAAACUAUUGCACCCCAAAUGGGCCCUAAAUCUGCCAAACAAACAAAAUUACCAAAGGAAACUAAACUUCAGUAAAAAGCCUAGCCCAAGGAGACUGUGAAACUGUGACACUUGUACGAUGUCUCUGCAUGAACGACGCUUUAUUAUCAGCGGCACCACCACUCCAUAAACCCAAAUCCUAAUUUUUUUUUAUAAAAAAUGAAAUUAAAAUGAUGACACUUGUUAGAUGUCUCUGCAUGAACCAACACUUGAUUGUCUGUCCUUAAAAAAAAAAAAGACACUUGAUUAUCUGCAGCAGCACCACCCCAUAAACCCAAAUCCUAAUUUUUUAAAGAAAAAAAGAAAAUCAGAAUGAAACCCAUAAAAUUCCCAUCUUUUUCCACUUCUUCUUGAUUAUCUUCUUGAUUAUUAGUAAUAUCUGAUUUUUUCACUUUUUUCUUCCUGUAAAAAACUCUCACUUUCUUGAGUUUUUAGGCCUCUCUAUUGAAUCAUUCAGCCUCAACCCACAAAAAUGAGAUGGGAAAAGUUGCAGGUAGAAGAAGGUGUUGGACCUGGGAAGAGGUGGGGCCACACCUGCAACGCCAUUAAAGGAGGGAAGCUUCUCUACGUUUUUGGAGGGUAUGGAAAAGAUAACUGUCAGACUAACAAAGUUCAUGUCUUUGACACAGGUGGUUUUUCUAUUUUUCUAUUUUUUUUUCUUUUUUCUUUUUUGGAUAUUUUAGUAUGUAUACCAUUUUUGGGUUUCCAAUUACUAUAUUAGUGUGUUUACACGUUGUGGUUAAAGGUUUAAGCUGCUCAUUAGUCUAUUAUUUGAGGGUGCAAUUAACCAGCAACUCUUUGCCUAGGGUUGUUUUUUAUAUUGGAAUUUGCUUUUAUUCUGGCUUGGGGCCGGAUUUUUCUGGGGCUUUACUGUUAAUACUUAAAGGGUACUUGAGAAUUUGGUGUUUUUCUUGUUGGUAUUUUGUCUGUCUUUCAAUUUCGUGUACUGUGGUUAAAUUUGUGCAUUGGUAACAUUUAGUGCUUUAUCCGUCACUCUGAUUUUGCCGUUCCUGAAAUCUAGAUUUUGGUAAUAUUGGUGUUUGGGAGAUAAUUGAAAUUGUUUAUCUUAGUUUUUCAUUUAAUAUUACUUUUAAGCUGCAGAAAGCUGUUGUUGAGAUAUUUCAGUUAGCUUAUAUUAUAUGUAUUCUACCAGUUUCUAGGACAUGGAAUGAGCCGGCGAUGAAUGGUGUACUACCUGCCCCGAGGGACAGCCACAGUUGUACCACAGUGGGAGAUAACCUUUUUGUAUUUGGGGGGACUGAUGGGAGAAGUCCUCUUGGCGAUUUGCAAAUAUUGGACACCUGUGCGUUAUUCUUGCCAUUUCUCCUAAUUUCCAUUCUAGUCUUUUACUCUAAGAUUGUGUUCAUGCUGAGUUUAGUUUCUGGGAAAAUAAUUGUUUUUUCUUAUGUUUUACGUACCCCAUAUUGUAAUUGUGUUCUUUUGCUGAAAAUUGCCCUAUACUGGGACACUCAGACCAGGCUAUGGUUUUUAAGUAAUUUUCAUUAUUUGGUUAGGUACUCUGCUCCUGUAGGAUAAAGAGUUCACUACUAUAUAAACUACCCAAAUAUCUAGUAUGCUUUACGAGAAUCUAUAGCAAGAUGUAUUUCUAUGGACACUUGUACUCUUGUCAUCCACAUCAACCUGGAAAUAGUUAUUAAGUCUGUGAGCUUAUCAUUUCUUAUUGAAUUUGUAGUUCAGGAAGGAGUUAGGCAUUUUGUUAUAAGUGGAUGUCAUUUCUGAUUUUUAGGUUGUACCAAAAUACUGUCAAUUUUUUUUUUUUGGUACGAACCAAAAUACUGUCAUUGUUUCUGUUUUUAAUUGGGUAAGUAAUAGUAUCAAUUCUUCCUAUUUUAAAAGGUGUAGCUUUUAGGCUAUUAAAUUUGUUUCAAUUACUUCAUAACCCCAAAAGAGAGAGUAAUACAUGUUUUCUAAUUUCCCUUAGUUCUCCAAUUAAUUAAUUUAGUGACAGCAUAUGUUCCCACUUUCAUUUUGACUUUAUGAUUUCAACCCUCCUUAAUGAUUCCCUGUCAAAAUUUGACCUCUAUUUUUAAAUGAAGGGACUAUGAGAUCGUAAUCAUCCAGUUGUUGUCUAAGUAGUUAAGUACAUUCAAUACAUAUUUUGUAACUAGUUUGAUUUCAAUGGUGUGGAUUAGUUAAGCACACUUAUAUAUUUUGUUACAAGUAUUUUAACAUGAUAAACAUUUUGGUAAUUAAUUUGAUUCAUAUGGUUCUACAAUUAGUUUAAUUUUAUAGGCUAACCAUUAGUGCCAUGUUCACUUCUCUUAGCAUCAAAUACAUGGAUCUCACCAAGUGUCAGAGGUGAUGGACCGGCACCUAGGGAAGGCCAUAGUGCAGCACUUAUUGGUAAAAGACUCUUCAUCUUUGGUGGAUGUGGCAAAUAUGAUGGUCUUGAAAAGUACUAUGAUGAUGUUUACAUAUUAAAUACAGGUGCAAUUCUUAUUUUCAUUUCAUGUUUUGUUGACACAUUGAACUGAUUAUACGUGUAAAAUUGUUGAUUUUUGCUUUGACCGGGGUUAUCUUCACACUCAGCUUGUCAUUAUUAGAGAUAAUAAAAUCCAGACCCCUCAGAUAAAAAUAUUUAAUUUUCUGUACAGUACUGAAACUGGCUAUUUAGAAUUUUGUAUGUCAUCUGUAUGUUAGAUAUGACUCAUAUAAUCAUUACAGGAAAAACUUGAAAUUUAUCGUUAUGUGCUGAAUUCAAACAUUCUGCUUUGGCAUUGAAUAGAAAGUUAGUAAAAAGAAUCAUCUAUCAGCAGUGGUCGAGAAAUAUGUUCAUUUUUUGCCCAUGAUUUGCAGAGACAUUUUUUUGGAAACGUGUUGAGCCAUCUGGUACUCCACCAAGUAAGCGAGAUAGUCAUACCUGUUCGUCUUGGAAGAAUAAAAUCAUUGUGAUUGGUGGUGAAGACGUUUCUGAUUACUAUCUGUCAGAUGUUCAUAUACUUGAUGCAGGUAUGGCUGAAUUAGCCGUCCAUUUUGUUGAAAUAAGAGAAGAAUAAACUUGACUUUCACAUUUUUUUCAAAAAUCUGUGUUGCCAUUUGACACUAUUAUUUUGUAUUUCCCUUUAAAUAGAUAGUCUUGUUUGGUGCAAGUUGAACACCACAGGCCAAUUGCUGCCACCUCGGGCUGGACAUACAACUGUUGCCUUGGGCAAGUACUUGUUUGUGUUUGGGGGUUUCUCUGAUGAGCAGAAUCUGUAUGAUGAUGUUUAUGUUCUUGAUAUGGGUAUGUUUAAUGUCAUGAUACAUUACUUUUAUCUACACGUAUCUGCUAAUUUUACCUCCCUGCCAAUAAAGGACCAUGAUGCUUUAUUAGUAAAAUUUAUUCUUGAAACUACCUAGGUUUUUAUUGUUGUUGGACGGAGAGGCAAGUUGAAAAAAAAAAGUAUGUAUUCUUUUUCUGUUUAUACAUUUGGUGUGGUAGAUAAAAGCAGGCAUAUGACUACUUUGUGAUAAAAGAGAAAAAAAGAAGAGGAAAUUCAUUCUAAAAGAUUGCCUCUACCCAAUACAGUUUCUUGUAGCAUGGCUGUUCAUAUGUGUUUGGUUGAAAACCAAUAAUCAAUGAAGCUUCUUUUUCCUGUUCCUCCCCCCUGCCUGGGACAUAAUAUGAAUGCCAGACUUUUGUAAACAAAUCACUGAAACAUAUGUUGCAUUGAAGCUUGUUGGCUGAAGGUACACUUGAAGGUAAUGGUUAUGUCAUAGAAGUUAGCAAACAGGCUUAGUUAAUUGGUCUAGUAUAAGUCUACCUUUUGUAUAUGAUUCUAUCUACAUCUAAGUAGAUCUAGGAGCUUAAACAUUGUCAGAUGAACUAAGCCUCAUUUCUAUCUGGUCCUAAUAUCUCAGUAUCAGAAAAUUUUCACUUGCAUUUAUGUCAUCCCAUCCAAGUUUAACUAAGAACCUAAAACGAUGGUCCUAACCUCUGUGAUAAACAUCCAACUGCAGAUGCUAUAAGUUUAAUUAAUGCCAUUAUCCAAGAUGUGAUGAUUAAUAAUUAGUGGAAACUGUUUCUUCUAGCGUGGCAUGAUAGAACGCAAGGAACAUCUGUUUUCUGAUAUCACUCUUCACAUAAGGCAUCAGUGAACAAUAGUGAACAACAAAUUUUAACUUUUCUGCCACAAAACGCUGGAGAAUAUCUGUUUCUAUCAUUUUGUAAUGUUUCUUUGUUGCAAAACUCAUGCAGAGAAUGGUGCAUGGACCAAAGUAAUGGCUACUGGUGAGGGUCCUUCUGCCAGAUUUUCCAUGGCUGGGGAAGUUUUGGAUCCAUAUAUGGGAGGUGUGCUUGUAUUCAUGGGUGGUUGCAAUAAGAAUCUUGAAGCUCUGGCAGAUAUGUAUUACUUAUACACAGGUUUGUUUCUUUCCUCUCUCGUUUUCAAUUCAUAAUUUGUAGCCAUUCUUCUUGGAUUGCUUUGAUUAUUCUAUAAUUGAGUGUUAGUUUUUGGAUGUGGUAAUUACUAUCAGGGCUGACUAGGGAAUAUGGGCGAGAAGAGAGAAGGCUGGAGAAGCUGUCUAUGAGGAAACAGCUGAAGUUGAGAUGUCAAGAACAAAAUCCUCUUGUAACAGCUGAGGGUAUUGCUGCUACUCACCAGCCUAUGCAUGUCACUAGUUAUGUCCAACCAAGUAAGAUCUAUUUUAUUCCUUCUUGGUAAAAUUUUCUUCUAUGCCAUCUUGCAUUUUUUUGACUAGUUUAUUUUACACGUAGAGUAUUAAGUUUCUUCAGUUGUUGCUAUUUCUUCGCAUAAAAAAAAAUCAGAUAAGGAAUUGGGAUUCAUCUAAAUCUGAUUCCUUGAAGUUCUUAGGAGUCUUUGGAGCAGUAACUAGGUCAUGAAAAGUAAGGUAAAAAGGGUAGCAGGCUAUGUCUCUGGUCUAUGGUGGUUGGAUAAAGAUGACAGGAUGUGUGCACUUCACAAUUGCGGUUUGUUGGGUUCAUAUUGAUAUGUAGGUCUGAAUGCAGAAAAUGAACUCAGAGGGGAAGCAGUGUACAGUGGUUGACGACCACUCCUUUUCGCAGCAUUUUGCACCAUAGGAUUAGAACUCAUAGUUGGUCAAUUAUCAGAGCUGAACUUAAGGCUUGAAUUUGAAAAUGACUUGAUAUGUAGGCCUUUUUUUUGGGUGGAAUGUUUGACAAUAUGCUCAGCUUUAAACCUUGAUUUUUUUCCUGCCUGUUGAGUUUCAAACUUGACAACGUUUUUCUUAAAAACGGCAAUAACAUGAUGACAAAAUUCUCCUUAAGAAAUGGAGGCAACCUGAACUAAUAAAUUAUAGAAUUGAUGAACGAACCAUUCAACAGUAUAAGUUAUAGAUCUUAACUCAUUUGUGCAAGAACUGCUCUUUGGUAUGGUUGGAAGGAACAGUGAGGCACUCUUGGAAGUCACUGUAUAGAAAUGUUACUGCAAAGAAUCAUUGUCUUUUAAUUUUGAACAAUACAUAUUUGAGCAUCAAAUCUUUGUUGCUGCUUGGUUGUAUAUCUGCUACCAUCGAAGAGUGGACAGGUGUCCAUGUGCUGGCUUGGACCCAAGUACAUCUAGAAUGGUUAAGUUUUAUGUUGUCCCAAAUUUUAUUUAGCACCUUGGCUGCUUUUUAACCAUUGUCAUCUGGAAGAUGUAAGCAUCAUCACCUAGUGCUGCCUAGGGGUGAAAUCGAGCCGAGUCGAGCUCGAGUAGUGACGUACUCGAGCUCGAACUCGACGCCAUCCACCAGAGCUCGAGCUCGAGCAAGCUCGGGAAAUUAAGAUCGGAAUCGACUCGAGAAUAAAAUGAGCAGGCUCGAACUCGACUCAAUCGAGCUCGAGUUGCAUUCGAGCUCACUAUCGAGUCGAGUACUCGAGAUCGAUGACAGCAUUUGUUUCUAGCUAAUCAGCAAUGACAACAGCUGAUGCUAUACUAAAGCUUUUGCUUUCUACCCCACAUCAAAGUAGGUAAAACUGGGGAAGGCAUUUUCCUGCUCCUUUGUUCUAAUUUUCUCACAGGAAAUGCAUCCUUAUUAUACAAAAAAGAAAGCAAAUAGUUACUGAUCUGAUCAAGAUUCAAAUGUGCUUUCUUUUGUGCUUAAAGCACACACAGACACAGAUUGGGUGGACCCUUCUCUACCAUAAACCAAAAAGAAUGGAGAAAAGAGGACUGCGUAAAAGACAGCAAAGGAAUCAACUGAAACUCUUUUGCAAUAGGGUUUCGAUAUUAAAAAUUAAUAUUACAUUUACAAAAUUUAACCUCAUAAUGCACAUAUUUACUACAGAUAUGCACAAAUAAGUACCUCAAUUUGUCAAAUGCAGCUGUUGAAAUUGGUGGGUUUUGAUUAAUUUAAUCCCUCGCUCAAAGGUCGGCUGCCCACCGCUGCUAUCUACUCCAUUUUGAGCUCCAGGAGAAGGAAGAGGGAAGAUUAGCUUAAGUGCUUAACUGCUGAUGUCGCGGCUGCCUUGCGACGUGUAACAGUUGAGAGAAUGAGGGAUUGAGAUUUGAGACUGAAGCUGAGCUACUGAAGAGGACGAAGAAGAAUGAAGGACGACGGAAGGAAGGACCAAGGAGUUUUCAGUUUUCGUUUUUAGUUUUCAUCAUUUCAUCACAUUUCUCAAGCCAAAAUUACUUAUUCACCCUUCAUUAUUACUACAACAUAACUGGUUAAGCCCGUAAAUAGACUAGCUAACAAACCUAAAAGAGUAAAUUGAUAACUAAAAUAACAUACAAUACACAAUCAAGCUACUCGACGAGCUAACAAUUCUUCCUUCUAACUACUCGAACUCGACUCGUUUCCUGUAGCGAGUAGCUCGAGAUCGACUCGAGAUCGAAUCCGAUCAAGCUCGAGUCGAAUACCUAAUCAAGCUACUCGCGAGCUCGAUUCAAGCUACUCGAUUUCUCUGCACCCCUAGUGCUGCCAAUAGAAUGAUGAGUUAGGUAACCUUUAGGUUUUUAGAAGACUUGGAUAUCUCUAGCUUAGAAUCUGUUCUGUGACUUCUGUCAUGUUGUGUGCAUGCAUACUUGGAAGUGUUUUGUCAACAAACUAAUUUGCUUCAUCAGCACUGUGUGAAUAUCUGGCAAGUCAGUGCUUAUUCAAUACCUUGUCUAAUGGUUUGCUAUGCAAAAAUAGUUAUUGGAAGAUGUUAAUUUGCUUUAAAAAUGCAUUUAUCCAAUUGCAGACUUACAGAACAUCCAUCAGAACCAAUACCAGACUGCUGGUGGGAAGAAGACAUUUGAAGCCAGGGUUACUAAAAGCUUUGCAGAUGGCUACACAAUUGAAACUUUUAUCGAUGGAAAGCCUCUUCACGGAUUAUUGUUUCGCAAUAAGCCAAUAAAUAGCAUGGAAGUCGAUGAUUCUACUAGGUCAGGAUUGUUAGCUGUUAUUUAUUUAUUUAUUGAUGGGCCGGACAUGAAUAGCGGAUAUCACGUAUAGAAACUUUCCUGAAAUUUUCAUCAAAAUAUUUCUCCAUGUUCUCAUUGAAGGAAAGUAGCAGCUGUGGAAACUGAUGGAGCUACGGUAAAUGGUGAUCAAACCACAUCAAAUAUAACAAGACCCGUAGAGCAUAAAGUCAAAGAUGUUAUACAGGCACAUGGUGUGGUGCAGGAGAAUGCAUGUCCACCUGAGGCUCAGUUGGAAGCUGUUGCAACUGAAAUGAAGAUUCAAGAACCUGCUGAGGCUUUACUGUUCCUUGAGGUUAUGCCUUGCCUUUCUUUUGUCAUGUGGACUGCUCUUUUUAGAUUGAAAAUUUUCAAACCUCACAUUAUUGACAUUCUGGGAAAUUGUGUCAUUUCAUUCAUGCAUGCGGCCAAGUCAUUCUUGAAAGCAAUCAAUCCUAUUGAUGGUUGACCCGCUGAAGUGGAAUCAUCGAGGAUAAAAUCAUAGAAAUUGAUUAAGAUGAUUUUAUUUGAGUUAAACAUUAUAGAACAAACUAAUAGUCAAACUGUCCUCCAUAAUUGAAAGACCAGCAUUAUUUUCUGGUACAAGACGAGAAUAUGAUCUUCGUGAAGUAAGAAAAAAGAGACAUGGCAACUCCUGUCGGUACAAAUUGAAAUUUGUCCUACGAUGAAUGAAGGCAAAUAUUCAUGUAUGAAACUCAACUAGUAGGGAGAAGGAUUUCUUGAGUUGAAUUGAGCCAUGAUUUGUAUUUCUCUAAUGCUCUGAUCUCGGUAUGUUAAUGUGCCAAUUUGAUUGGACAGGACGAAAGGGAGAAAAAAAAAACUACUUAUGUGUCAGUUCUCCACCCAAUUUGAUACUGAAUUCCUCCAUGACUUCAACAGUAGAAAUUUUGUGUAAGAAGGCUGGAAUAGAAAAUGUCAGAAGACUUAGAAACAGAUGGAUCAACUGCAACAUUGCUCUCACCAUCUGAUGCCUGUUUGGGCAAAUUUGUCAUUUGGUUGCCAAUCAAGUUUUGACGACAGGUUGCUCUGCUUGGCACCUAUUAAUGAUAUUGACUUAUCAAAACCUAUUCAUGCACAUAGAAUAGCUAAUUAGCAACGGUGGUUGGUUUUGCCUUUUGAAGUCUGAAGCACUCUUUGCUAGACUUGAACCUUGUGUAUCUAAUUGAUUUUGAUCACUCUAUUUCUUUAGUUCCUUUGAUGUUAGUAUGGUAAAAAAUGCUUUGGAAAUGUCAUUUCUGUUUUUGUCCAUCAACAGGUUGGAGCUGUAAAGCCUUCAGCAGCACUAGAUGUGAAAAUAAAGACUAAUGGGCUAAAUAAUUUGCCACACCCCAGCAGUGAGUUGCCAGAAGAUUGCGUUUCCACAGCAAAGGAAUGUGUGACUUGACCCUUAAACUAAGGUAACACAGCACCAGUUGCUUAUGUUUCUGAUCAAGGCAACCAGGAUAUUUUUACUACUUCAUAGAAAUUAUGCAAGCUUAAUGCAUAAGACUUUCUUUGGUCCUUGAAUUCUAUUAUAUGGCUACUAGGGCACUUGGUAGAUAUAUCUUAAAGAAUGUGUCUGGAUUCUUAGUUUUUGGACUGUCAGAUGAUCUGAUUGUACAACAUGGAUUUGGGUCUGAGUUUGCAGUUUGUGCACUAUUUUGUUGAUCUAAAUCUUGUCUUCUGUCUCCAUUCAAGGGAUAAAUAAUCUACCAGUAGCACAUUUGACUGUCCAAUUCUACACCAUAAAUAGUUUCCAAGUCAGAAAGAUUUGGUAAUUGAAGUACAUGUGAACUCUCAACUCAGGUAUUUGUGGCUUUGUAUGCACAUUGCCUUGGGAUUUAAGGUACUCCAUGUAAAGGAAACUUAAAAGUGGGAAAAUGUUCAAAAUUUCUGGAAAUCAGAGUCCUAAAUAUUAGAUUGUAUGACAUUUCAAAAAUUUUAGAAUUUGAUAAUGUUCAUCCAUUGCCAACCUCCUGCCACCUCCCAUCUCCGUCUCUGCUUUUCUCCUCAGAGGAAAAGCAUUAGCAUGUGUAGAGUCAAUAGUGUACCUUAUUAUGCCAUUUUUAUGAUGAUUCAGGGAUUUUCCCUGGCAAUUUUAUGAGUCAGAAAUGAUAUCCCAUAUAAUCGAAAUCAAGCUGCAAACCAAUGGGGCCUAAACAAUACUGACAUGACAUCUGAAGUCUGAUUUAGGUCUCUUUAUUUCUCAAUUGCAGAUGAUUUGAGAAGAAGUUGCAUUUGAAAUUUGUGAUAUUGAAUAUGAUAUGUUCCAUACUCCUCAGAUCUACUGGAACAAGCAUUCAUGUAUCACUUCUCUGUUUGUUAAUCAAAAUUAUUGUGUACAUAGAUUCACUUUAGAAACUAGAGAUCAAGUAGAAGAGUUAUUAUUGGAGUACCAGUGAUGGUACACCAAAGAAUAAAUGUGUCUACUUUAAAGUACCACUGUUAAUUUUUUUUCCCUGAACUAAAAUUUAAGAAAGCAAAGACCGACCCGACCAACAAGAAAAGAUGAACUCUGACAGAAAAGUUCCAUUCUGAGGGCCUCACUAUCUUACAACACACAAAUCCUACAUCAUCAGAAAUGGAAAUCUCUGAGUUCAACAUAUUUUAAACUUGACCUGCAGGAAUUACCAUAUUAUGUCUAAACAAGCUCACCAAGGGCAAAUAGAAAAUGUUGAUGGUCACCUUUCCAGUUUGAGGUUCAGACCAACUCAUGUUGAUUAAAAUGAAUAUUGUGUGAUACAAAUUUGAAAUUAAAGGAAUACCAAACAGCAUGGAAAGUAAAAUGAAGGCACUAGCUCAACAUUUCGGAUUGGUUCUUAACAUGGACCAGACAGGCUUGAUUUUCAAGGGUCCGACCCUGUGUCCUAGAUCUACUCACUUGAAGGUUUUCCUAGCAUUACCCGAUUUUGUACUUGUUCCCCCACCACCCCAAUCCACCUUGAAAUUGAGGAAGAACUAGAGGAACUUGGUUUCAAGCUGGUUACUGGUGAAUUGUUGAAAUGGCUAGGCCAAUGUGUACCAUUUUGGAAAUGUUCCAGUGAAAAGAAAGAAAAUAGAGUCUUAAUAACAAAUAAGACCUUGAAACCAAAAACAUUAUCAUCAACAUGAGAUAAACCAAAUUAAAAGUGCUUCAAAAACCAAGCCCAAUAAUUUAUCUCAAUCUUCAGCAUCUGCAUCAUGGAUAGUACUUGUAUUUGGCAACAUUUGUCUUUUAUGCAACAAAUAAUAUCUCAUAUUUGAAGUUGAUCAACUGAUUGCCAUUAGAAAUUAGAGAUGGGUUACCACUACAUCUGAGACUCUUGAUCAGAUCUUUGGCAUUCGUCUAAGUUUCCACUACUACUAAGAACCUUGUAAAGUAUAUUCAUGAGGUUUACAAUGAUGAAUUGGUCCUGAAGUAUAUAGUCUUGUAUAUCUGUCUCUUUCCAGCUCUGCAGUAGCUUUUGCACCAAGAUUUGUCAUUUGUUUGUGAUGCCCUUGUCCCGUUGCAAUAUGAUAGGACUUGUCAUCAAUCUUCCUCUGAUGAUGAGCGCACAAAGGAAGGCAUAAAGUUGCUGGAAGGGAGCUACUGAACUUGAUAUGGAUGCACGCAAGGGUGCUUAAGUUUAAUGAAAAAAGAGAAAAGGUUGAGAAGCUUAAAAACCAAAUUUAAAGAAAAUGCAGAACUCUUUGGGAAAUAAACAAUCCUUUGGGUGUUAGCUUUUAGGAUUAUUAUAAAGCAUACACCCAAUAAGGAAUUAUAGUAUAUUGAUAAAAUGUGUAUUCUUGUGACAGAAGUUUACUGCUAAUGACACUUUUCAAGGUUUCUGGAAUGACUGAAUGCCUCGAAUGAAAUGAUCAACAAGAAUAUCUUCUGCAGAGAUUCAAGUCAAACAUAUUUUUUUCUGCAUUACAGGCUAAUUAAUGCCUCUCAAACCUAUGUCUACCCUGAUGUCUGCUGACGAUAUCUUAAGUGGUUGUUAGACAUGAUAUUGUUGACUUGAGCAUUGUUGUAGACAAGUUUUACUCUCUGUAUACAGUUUGAAGAUGCCAGUGGCUUUGCAGUGAAACAAAGGAGAGAGAAGGAACACAACAGUUGUUGGCUGACUUGUAUUUUAGAAAAUGUUUAAUAGCUACAAACUGAAAUAGAGAUAUUUGAAGUAAUUCUAAGCAUACAGAUUAAAAUGUUUGAAACUUACAUGGCCGAGCUGAUACAUGUUUUGGCAUGUAAAUCCCUUCUAUAUUUGACAUUUUGGUCUGAAAGGUUUAAGUAAAGUUGCACCAUUUAAUUUGAGCUAAUACUAAGAGUCCAAUUAGAAGCAUCAAAAGCUAGCUGUCAGUGUCAUGACAAAAGAAAAUGUGAACUCUCCAACCAGAAAUACAUCCAGCUGCUCUCCCUCACUGAGAGCCAUUCUUUUUCAUCUUAUUUUUGAGAUGACAUGUUGGAUUCCUUUUGUCAUCUAGUUUACCCCAUUUUUGAGUCUUGCAUAAUGCAGUUAACACCAAAGGAUAAUGAAGUUAAGACUUGACAGAGCAGAAGCUAUGUUAGUCAGACUCUUCAUUUGAUCCCAAAGCACCCAUGUCGACAUGACACGACACUGGUGCUGGUAUGGGAUAUGUGUCCGUCACUUUGAAAAAUUUUUGGACACUUUUGACUUUGUGAGGUCUGAUGUCGAAGCAAGAGGAGAAGACCUGGGUGAGAAAACUGAUAGAUGUAGAAGACUUGUUGCAUUGGAGUCCUUAUUAAACUAGAAUCUUCUUGAGCUAUGACUUCUUGGUUAAUUUAGAAUUAUCCAACCCUUAG
rnacentral:lncRNA from 1 species